GGGGAAGUAGCUCAAUUGGGAGAGCGACGUAUCCUAGGGACUGCAUGCUUGGAGGUCUUCAGAGGACUCCCAAGCUCGUAGGAACUGGUGACGGAGGUUCUAUGUUCGAUCCAUAGCUUCCCUA